UAGAGUUUGAUCCUGGCUCAGGAUGAACGCUAGCGGGAGGCUUAACACAUGCAAGUCGAGGGGUAAGGCUCUUUCGGGAGUACGCGACCGGCGCACGGGUGAGUAACGCGUAUGCAACCUGCCUCUAACAGGGGGAUAGCCCAGAGAAAUUUGGAUUAAUACCCCAUAAUAUCAAGAAUUCGCAUGUUUUCUUGAUUAAAGCUCCGGCGGUUAGAGAUGGGCAUGCGUGCCAUUAGCUUGUUGGUAAGGUAACGGCUUACCAAGGCAACGAUGGCUAGGGGGUCUUAAAGGAUGGUCCCCCACACUGGUACUGAGACACGGACCAGACUCCUACGGGAGGCAGCAGUGAGGAAUAUUGGGCAAUGGACGCAAGUCUGACCCAGCCAUCCCGCGUGCAGGAUGACAGCCCUAUGGGUCGUAAACUGCUUUUGUACAGGAAGAAAAAUCCCUACGUGUAGGGAACUGACGGUACUGUACGAAUAAGCAUCGGCUAACUCCGUGCCAGUAGCCGCGGUAAUACGGAGGAUGCAAGCGUUAUCCGGAUUCAUUAGGUUUAAAGGGUGCGUAGGCGGAAUUUUAAGUCAGUGGUGAAAUCUUGCAGCUUAACUGUAAAAUUGCCAUUGAAACUGAAGUUCUUGAGUAUAGUUGAGGUAGGCGGAAUGUGUCAUGUAGCGGUGAAAUGCUUAGAGAUGACACAGAACACCGAUUGCGAAGGCAGCUUACUAAGCUAUCACUGACGCUGAGGCACGAAAGCGUGGGGAGCGAACAGGAUUAGAUACCCUGGUAGUCCACGCUGUAAACGAUGAUCACUCGUUGUUGGCAAUACAUCGUCAGCGACUGAGCGAAAGCAUUAAGUGAUCCACCUGGGGAGUACGUUGGCAACAAUGAAACUCAAAGGAAUUGACGGGGGCCCGCACAAGCGGAGGAACAUGUGGUUUAAUUCGAUGAUACGCGAGGAACCUUACCUGGGCUUAAAUGUAGAUUGACCUCUCGGGAAACUGAGAUUCUCUUCGGAGCAAUUUACAAGGUGCUGCAUGGUUGUCGUCAGCUCGUGCCGUGAGGUGUCGGGUUAAGUCCCAUAACGAGCGCAACCCCUAUUGUUAGUUGCUAGCAGGUAAUGCUGGGGACUCUAACGAGACUGCCGGUGUAAACCGUGAGGAAGGUGGGGAUGACGUCAAAUCAGCACGGCCCUUAUGUCCAGGGCUACACACGUGUUACAAUGGCCAGUACAGAAGGCAGCUACCUGGUGACAGGACGCUAAUCCCGAAAACUGGUCUCAGUUCGGAUCGAAGUCUGCAAUUCGACUUCGUGAAGUUGGAUUCGCUAGUAAUCGCGCAUCAGCCAUGGCGCGGUGAAUACGUUCCCGGGCCUUGUACACACCGCCCGUCAAGCCAUGGAAGCUGGGGGUGCCUGAAGUCCGUAACCGCAAGGAGCGGCCUAAGGUAAAACCGGUGACUGGGGCUAAGUCGUAACAAGGUAACC
rnacentral:rRNA from 1 species